GAAAUAAUCAUGUGAUUUUUGUCUUUUGUUAAUGUGGUGUAUCAUGUUGAUUUGCAGAUGUUGAACCAUCCUUGCAUCACUAGAAUAAAACCCACUUGAUCAUUAGUAAAGGUCCUUUUAAUAUAUUAUUACAUUUGGCUUGAUAUUUUGUUGAAGACUUUUGUAUCUAUGUUCAUGAGGUAAAUUGGCCUAUAACUUUUUUUUUUUUUUUUUAAUGGUGUCUUUCAUUUUGGUCCUCAGUUUAUGCUGGCCUCGUAAAAUGAAUUUGGAAGCACUCCUUCAAGUUUUUGGAAUAAUUUGAGAAGAACAGGACUGGCGAGUGUGCAUGCAGGCCUCAGUGCUAUUCCUCCCUGCUGCUGGCCAGCACUUGGGGGUGAGGAAGGUGUCCCUCUAGCAUCGUGCAGAAGCUGUUCCAUCAGCCCUCAGUGGUGCAGGAGGAGCUGCUCUCUAUGUAGGUGCAGACUCCGCAUGGCCAGCGGAGGAGGGGAGUUCAGGGUCUUCGGCGCCUGUCUUAGAACACCUCCCUGUGCUACUCAGGGCAGAGCUUUCUGUCCGCCUCUGAUCAGGUGUCAACGUUUUAAAUCUUGUUACUCAAGACAUUAGCCAGAGAAGAUAACUAAUCACACUGUUGCCACUUAAUGCGGUCAAAUUAAAGGACCAUGAACAAAGUACUAAAUUUUGGUGACAAACCAGCCCAAACAAGUAGACAAGUUAACUUUUCAGGGAGUUUUUAUUUACAAAAGUAUGGAUCGGAAGACCACAGGCUGCAGCAGGGGACUGAGCCUUCUAUUCGGCAUGUUUUAGUCGGCUGGCUUCAUUUCCGGUCAAGGAGCUUCUCUAAUUGAUGGUUGAUGUUUUGCAGAUGGGUCUCAGCUCCUAAAAGGGUUCUUGCCUGAACUAACAGAGCUGGAAGGCUGGAUGAAUCAUACUGUCAAAGGCAAAUUAUUUGGAUUAAGUAUAACAAACUUUUAUAACCCUGUUAUACAGCUCCAUGCUGAAUAGAGCUUUCCACUACUAUCAUUUUUCAAACGAGGACCGUUAUGAUCAUUGGUUUAAUCCUUUUCCUUAGGGCAUAAUUAGUAAGGUUACAAGGGACCCCUCUCUAGAAAGUUUUAGGCUGAUCUAGUUCCAAGAACUGUGGCAUCUAAAUCAUGUACAACAAAAUCACUUCCUGGUACAUAUUGAGACUGGGUUUGGGCAAGUUUGCUUGAGCUCAUGCCGGUUUUAAAUCCAGAAAACUGUAAGGCAGAUGGACUUUUCCUGGAAGAACUAAUGGAAUGAAAAUACCAGGCCCAUAAAAGUUCAUGAGGGAAAAAUUAAUCAUGUAGAAAAACUAGACAACCCAACAUAAACUCGUGAUUUUGAAAUGACAAAGCCAGGCUCCAUGUUGUAACUUGUAUCUAAGGAUGAGUGACUGAAGUCCUCUUCCAGUCUGUCAUACUUAUGACAGUUUGUUUAAAAUCACGUUUUCAAGGGGUUUUUCUUAGUAAUGAAAAGAGCAGCUUUGAGCAGAAAAGCCAUCAGACGAUUGCUACCACCCACCUAAUAAUGCAGUUGUUUCUAGACUAUCACGUACCCUAUUACUGGGGAAUUCAAUUUCACAGUUAUUUGAGAGCCUGCUGUGUUCAAGCUACCAUGGGGCGCCUGCUCUCAGGGAGGCGAGAGGGGAAGAACUAACAUUUGGUGUUAGAUUUCUGGUUUAGGAAAAGAAGUAGGACAUAAACCCAAAUACCUACUUUCCCUGAAGGAAGACAGAUGCUGCAAGAGUACAGAAGGCCCGUGGGGCAAACACAGGACAGGUUAGUACACUCGUGUAUUCCAAGCCAAGUACAGUUGCCACAUCUGUUUUCACCAGUUAUGCUCAAAUUCAGUGCUCAGGAUGUCUCCAAGUUAGUAACCAAAUCCCCAACUCCAAGCAAGCU